rnacentral:rRNA from 1 species
CACGUAGGGGACGAGCGUUGUCCGGAUUCAUUGGGCGUAAAGCGCGCGUAGGCGGCUCGGAAAGUCGGUCGUGAAAUGCCGGGGCUCAACCCCGGGACUGCGUCCGAUACUCCCGAGCUGGAGGCAGGUAGGGGAGAUCGGAAUUCCUGGUGUAGCGGUGAAAUGCGCAGAUAUCAGGAGGAACACCGGUGGCGAAGGCGGGUCUCUGGGCCGUAACUGACGCUGAGGACGAAAGCGUGGGGAGCAAACAGGAUUAGAAACCC